rnacentral:lncRNA from 1 species
UGGGACCACAGGGAAACUUUUUAUUCGGUGGUGGCUUUUGCAGCCGUAGCCAAGAUUAAGGCUCAGGAUCUUUGAGGCAAGAAGGAAGAGGAGCUGCUAAGACAGCUGGACAACCUGAAGGUAGACCUGUCCCAGAUGUAUGUCGCCAAAGUGACAGGUGCCCGACGUUCCAGUUCUCUUAGAUUGUAGUCAUUUCCAAAUCUGUUGCCUGUGUUCUCACCGUCAUUAGCCAAACUCAGAAAACAAACCUCAGGAAGUUCUACAAGGGCAAGAAAUACUAGCCCCAGAUCUGUGGCCCAAGAAUACUUGUAUCAUGU